UACAGAGGGUGCAAGCGUUGUUCGGAAUCACUGGGCGUAAAGCGCGUGUAGGCGGUUUCCUAAGUCAGGUGUGAAAUCCCCCGGCUUAACCGGGGAAGUGCGCCUGAAACUGGGAGGCUUGAGUACCGGAGAGGAAAGGGGAAUUCCCGGUGUAGAGGUGAAAUUCGUAGAUAUCGGGAGGAACACCGGCGGCGAAGGCGCCUUUCUGGUCGGUUACUGACGCUGAGACGCGAAAGCGUGGGGAGCAAACAGG
rnacentral:rRNA from 1 species